UACGGGGGGGGCAAGCGUUGUUCGGAAUUAUUGGGCGUAAAGGGCGCGUAGGCGGUGCGGCAAGUCUCCUGUGAAAUCUCCGGGCUUAACUCGGAGCCUGCAGGAGAAACUGCCGUGCUUGAGUGUGGGAGAGGUGAGUGGAAUUCCCGGUGUAGCGGUGAAAUGCGUAGAUAGUCGGGAGGAACACCUGUGGCGAAAGCGGCUCACUGGCCCGGUACUGACGCUGAGGUGCGAAAGCGUGGGGAGCAAACA
rnacentral:rRNA from 1 species